AUAUUGUAAAAUUAUUUGAUGAUCCAUCGAUACCCACAAUUUCUCUUCUCUUCCUUUCUCCGCGUCGACCACCACCUCCAUUUCCCUCUCCGCGAAGAUUCGACCCACCAGCCGAUGCCACCUCCAUUUUCCCCUCCCUCUGCCGGCGAUUUGACUCACCGGCCGCAGCCGCGUUCUGCCACCUUUCGCCGCCCGCUAGAGAUCUGCUCUUCCACCUUCCCCGAUGCCACCCCCAUUUUCCCCUCCCUCCCCCGGCGAUUCGACUCACCGGCCGCAUUCCACCGCGAUUCGCCGCGAUGAGAUCUACCCCUUCCACGGUUCCACCUUCUGAUUCGACCAGAAAGAAUUCACAGAAGCCCUCUUUUCGUAUCUGCAGAUUUGGGGGUUUUCCAUUUUCCCCAUUUUUUGCUUUUCGUAGAAUUCACGGCGGUUCCUCUCGAUGCUCGAACGCGCGCCUCCGCCCCGAGCUCCAUCGCGGCGAUCCUCUACUCACCCGGCACCACGGGGUGAGUAAAGGGAGCCCUGCUUACAUACCGAAAUUUGAUCGCAUUGGUGCCAGAGCUGCAUCACAACUGGUGGGACCUCCCACCGCUGCAUUCUGCUUCGCCGGACCACCCGCUCCGGCGCCCUCCGCGAUCUGCCGUGAUUCUUGAAUCGACUAAGUCGACGGAGUUGGUCUUCUCUGCCGCGACUAUAGGCCGUCCUUGAGCCCGAAAAUCGUUCAACGACGCGCAGUCGUGCCGUCGGCUCGAGUCCAAGCACCCAAAUCAAUAUUUUUGGCUUCCUUUCAUCUACAAUUGUAAGUGAGUGCUCUUCUUGAAUCUCGACUCAAUUUGGUGGCUAUGUGUAAAUUAGUUGCUUUGCAUGUUGAAAUUGUAAUGAUUCUGAGUUUUUUGUGGGAUGGAUUUAAUAUGUAAUUAAGAAGAUUCUUUUGUGAUAUUUUAUUCCAGUUAUUCAUGUAUUCCAUUACCUACUGUGAAUAGUAGUGAAUAGUAACAGGGAAUAGUUUUUCUAUUUAUGCACAUAAAAAAAAGACAAUAAAAUGAGUAGUCAUUUUCAUUUUAUGUGAUAGUGCUUUGGAUAUGAUGGCAGAUUUUUGAGUUAUAUUGCACAAAUAUAUGAUUUGCUUCUUUCUCUGCGUGGAUGAAAUAUUUAGUCAAUUUCAAAGGUCUUCUUAGUUGUCUGGUGAUUGUCUGCAAUGGCUCCCUUUUGGACCAUUGCAUGAGUAUCACUCAUUAGGCUUUCUUCUCAACAGAUGCUUAUGAGAUGCAAGGGAACUUCCUUCUGUAAUGUCAUUAAUGUCAUUCAAGCAUGUUCAGGGGACCAAUCUUGGGUAGAUAUAGAUCAUAUAUUGAAUUGAUAGGAAUUUAAAUAAACCUUUUUAUUUGUAUUUUCCAGAUUUUUGGUUUAGAUUUUGCUAAUCAACUCUAUGAAUGUGUAUCCGUUUUUCAAUGGGUUGGGGUGCAGCUACUGUUGAAUACGAUAAUGAAAUACAAUUUAAGCUACGGAGAUUACAUGUUCUCGGAGGCUCGGAGCUGUUUGUGUGUGUGUGAGUGCCUCACGCACACCGCACUCAAUUUGAGAGUAUUGGCUGUAAAUGUUGUGAUUUUCAUGUCUAAUUGCAAAUUAUGAAUUGAGUUUGUUGCUGCACCUUUUAUUGAAUUGGAGCUAUUAUUUCUGUUGAUGCUGAAUAAGAAAAAUUUGCGCCAUUCCUUUAUAUUUAUUUCUCAACUUGUGUAAUAGACAUAGGUGAUCACAAAGUGGAAAAUGUGAAUGAUCUAAGCACGUGAUACCUAUCCUCAUAUUCAUCUACGGUAUUGGAAUAUUAGACCGUUUGUUUCGUAACUUUCCAGUUUUAUGUUUGUCCUCAGCUUUUGAUUUUACUUUGGGAGUACUUUGACAGUAAUGAAUCAUCUUUUAUUCAAGAAUGAUUGUAUAGCUAUGUGUAAUGAUUCAAGAAUGAUUUAUUUACUGAAUCGCAAUCUCUAUUAGUAUCUUUUCUUUGAUAAGGUUUUGUGAUCUCUGCUCUGAUUGAUGUUGAAAUGAACUGAUGGGAUUUUGAUUUUCAAUGGUCAGGAAUCACAAAUUCUUCUUUUGCUCAUUUGCGACUACAUUUCAGACUUAACUUUCUUUCUCUGUUUGUUACAUAACUAAGUAUGUUGAAAUCAAUUAUACUUUCUGUUCAUGGCUAGCUCCUCUAACAAUUCUGCUAUGCUUUAGUCAUAUGGACUUCUUGAGUAGAUAUAUUCAUGAAAGUAAAUGUUUUAGAAACAAGUUUUCGCUAAUGAGAAACUACGUCAAGAACAAGGAAGUGAAUUUUGUAGCCUUUCAAGGUAUCAGUUUGAAUGCUGGAGAAGAUCGACUGAGGCCCUUCAAGAGUGCAAAGAUAUGAUGUUCGUUCUUUUCGAUUAUCAUGAUGAAUGAAUUGUCCAAAUCAAUCUUCAAGAUGCCGAGUUUCAGAGUUUUUGAUCUACUGGAGGUGAAGACUUUUUUACCUCAUUUUUUUCAAACAUUUUAGAUUUCAUUAAUGUGGACGGUCUCAAUUAUUAAUGGAAGUAUCCUUUGAGGAUCCAGGUAAAA